GAGAUGCCGCACGUCGUCGACGUCCGCCUGCGUGAGAUCCAGCUGCUUGCGAAGAUGCGCCAGAUCGGACGAGACUUGCGUGUUGAACGCAAGCUGCGCCUCGAGGUGCUUCUCGCCCGCACGCGUGCUGUCGUCGAACCGCGUCAUGAGGGCCUGGAUCAAGGACUUGAGCUCGUUGGAUGAAUCUGCCAUGGCGUUGAGAACGUGGCGCGUCUGAGCAGAGGGCUUGGACGAAGGAGCCGUCGCCUCGCUCUAACUCCAGCCAACCCUACGGGGGAUUUCGUGUGGAUCUCGCCGGAGCGGACCACACCCCACGCGGUGGAUGUUACGGCCGGUGAAAGGAACGGGGAAAAGGGGGCGCGGCGGAGCAAAAUCCGGGGGGAAAAGUGGCUCUGAGUACCAAAUUGUCACGAACUCGCUCUCUCAGAUCGGAUCGGAGGGGAAAAGGGGAUGAGAUUUAGGCUUGGGAAACUAGCUUGCUUUCCAAGGGAGACGAGAUACAGAGAGGGUGAGGAUUCAGAUUCAGGUUCAAUUCACAUGCCUCCACCGAAAGCCCCACACUGGCUUAUAACCCACGCCACACGCACCCCGUGCCAACCCUUACAAGUGGGCCCGUGCCAACUGGCCACGGUGCCCCAACUCACUCGUCCACCGCAUCCACCACCGAUGAUGCAGGUGUGACACGAGAGUCCACAGCCGACGGGGAGAGCCUCUCCGGUUGGAACGACCACCCACAUCGGGGCUGAGGGGAACCGCGCUGACGUCGACCGACGGAGAGACGCCGCGCUGCGGGCGCGGCGGGGAGAAGAGAGGAAGGGGCGCGCGCGUGGGCGGCUGGCCGACGGGAACCAGCGUGUCUCUGCCACAUCUACGAACUGCAGAAACAAAGGUGCAAGACAAUAGAGAAGAUAGAAUUCAAGAUUCAGCAACUUUUAUCUACCAUCCAGUUCUACAAGGCACGGGGAUGCAAGUUCAUGGCCAAAAUAAUUGGAACAACACUUUUACCUUUGCUGUUUUUCACUGGGAGAAACUUGCCCAGCUCUGCCAAUAUUUUUGCCCAAUAUUCACCAGAAAUUUUGCCUGAUCAGCAUGAAGAGUUGCAGAUACAAUUACGUUUUCAGAAUUUCCCCAUGAUCUUUUGCCUUGUUUUCGUCUCUAUUUUACUCUGUUUUUUCGCUGUGGGAGGAGAGCUCCACAACGCUAGGCCAUUGCGUCCAGCGGUGGCUGGGGAAGGAGUUGUACGGGGGAUCUGGCUGGUGGGCGUAGGAUUUUCUGUGCUGGAUGGAGGGGAGGAUCACGUGAGUGAAAGGAUGGCUGGUUGUCAGGACGUGGCAACAAGAUGGGGAAGCUGGACUUGCCUUCUUUAGCACAUGGGGUGGGGGACCGACAGGGCACUUUCCUUAAUUGCCGGCCGCGAGAUACGCCCGCGUAGCGCGCGGGCGCUGUGUAGCAGCGUCCAUCUAUCAAUUAGCUCUUAGGAUCGGGAAUAGGAUUGCCAAUGUAAUCAUUGCUGGGUAUUACUCAGAUUGCGCUCGUCGUGUAACUCUUUUUUGUUUAAAGGACAAAAAGUAUCAUGUUGUUUC